rnacentral:rRNA from 1 species
AUUGAACGCUGGCGGAAUGCUUUACACAUGCAAGUCGAACGGCAGCACGGACUUCGGUCUGGUGGCGAGUGGCGAACGGGUGAGUAAUGUAUCGGAACGUGCCCAGUCGUGGGGGAUAACGUAGUGAAAAUUACGCUAAUACCGCAUACGAUCUAUGGAUGAAAGCGGGGGAUCGCAAGACCUCGCGCGAUUGGAGCGGCCGAUAUCAGAUUAGGUAGUUGGUGGGGUAAAGGCCCACCAAGCCAACGAUCUGUAGCUGGUCUGAGAGGACGACCAGCCACACUGGAACUGAGACACGGUCCAGAAUCCUACGGGAGGCAGCAGUGGGGAAUUUUGGACAAUGGGCGAAAGCCUGAUCCAGCCAUUCCGCGUGCAGGAUGGAGGCCCUCGGGUUGUAAACUGCUUUUGUACAGAACGAAAAGGUUUCUACUAAUACUAGGAGCUCAUGACGGUACUGUAAGAAUAAGCACCGGCUAACUACGUGCCAGCAGCCGCGGUAA